UUGACCUCAAAUCAGGUAGGACUACCCGCUGAACUUAAGCAUAUCAAUAAGCGGAGGAAAAGAAACUAACAAGGAUUCCCCUAGUAACUGCGAGUGAAGCGGGAAAAGCUCAAAUUUAAAUCUGGCGGUCUUGCGGCCGUCCGAGUUGUAAUCUGGAGAAGCGUUUAUCCGCGUCGGACCGUGUACAAGUCUUCUGGAAGGGAGCUCGUAGAGGGUGAGAAUCCC
rnacentral:rRNA from 1 species